rnacentral:rRNA from 1 species
UACGGGGGGGAGCAAGCGUUGUUCGGAUUUACUGGGCGUAAAGGGCGCGUAGGCGGCCAGCACAAGUCAGUUGUGAAAUCUCCGAGCUUAACUCGGGAAAGGUCAACUGAUACUGUGCGGCUAGAGUGCGGAAGGGGGCAACUGGAAUUCUUGGUGUAGCGGUGAAAUGCGUAGAUAUCAAGAGGAACACCAACGGCGAAAGCACUCUGCUGGGCCGACACUGACACUGAGAGACGAAAGCUAGGGGAGCAAAUGGG